UUUGUCCUUCAAGACAGAUUAUAAUACUGCUUGAUUAAAACAUUGCUAUUAAGUCCGCAGUAUUUUAUAAAAUAUUGAAUGAUAAUGCCACCCCAACGUUGAAGUUUAUCAUAAUAUAAUCUGUUUUGAAAGUUGGCAGAUCUUUUAAGUUUUACUGUUGAAAGAAUUGUACAACAGUUUUAGCUGUAGGAUAUUCUCACAUAGCUUAAAUAACAUUUGUCAACAAGCUUAAAUCUGUGCGCAAAGGAAAAGAGCAGACGCUACUGGGAACGAAUCAGGCUGGUAACAUUUGUCAACAAGCUUAAAUCUGUGCGCAAAGGAAAAGAGCAGACGCUACUGGGAACAAAUCAGGCUGGGUGCAACUAAAUUACAAAAUGAAGAAACACAUUACAUUUGUGCUCCUGUUUUGUCUUUUUGGAUUGGUGCUUAGCAAAAGUGUAUCGAAUGCAGAAAACAAUGAAUUGUUAAAAGAUACAGAACAUCUUGAAAACCAUCGCUUACGAAGAAAAGCGCCGGAUGAUGGUAGUAACAGAGGGACAAACAUUUUGCCGGAUGAUGAUGGUGGUAGAGGAAGGAAAAUCAUUUUGCUGGGAAAAAAAUAACUCAAUUUAACGAGUAAAUAGACACAGACGAUAUAUUGGACAAGAUUAUAUAAAUUUGUUUGAAUAUGAAACACAACAAAAAUCAAAUGAAAAUUUAAACAAUAUUAAACAAUAUAGUUAUUCUGUUUGCAUA